rnacentral:misc_RNA from 1 species
GAACGCAGCAAGUUCGUUUACGUUGCCAAGCUCGCUGAGCAGGCGGAGCGCUAUGAUGAGAUGGUGGAUGCCAUGAAAAAUGUGGCAAAGCUUGAUGUGGAAUUGACAGUUGAAGAGCGGAAUUUGCUCUCAGUUGGGUACAAGAAUGUGAUUGGUGCUAGGAGAGCAUCAUGGAGAAUUCUGUCGUCCAUUGAACAAAAGGAAGAAGCCAAAGGGAAUGAAGUUAAUGCAAAGCGGAUCAAGGAAUAUAGACAGAAGGUCGAAUCAGAGCUUACAAAUAUCUGCAAUGAUAUCAUGACCAUAAUAGAUGAGCAUCUCAUACCAUCUGCUUCUGCUGGUGAAUCAACAGUGUUCUUCUAUAAGAUGAAGGGAGAUUAUUAUCGGUAUCUUGCAGAAUUCAAAACUGGUAAUGAGAAAAAGGAAGCUGCUGAUCUUUCUAUGAAAGCAUAUGAGACAGCUACUACUGCUGCGGAGGCUGAUUUGCCUCCUACACAUCCUAUCCGAUUGGGUUUGGCAUUGAAUUUCUCAGUGUUCUAUUAUGAGAUCUUGAAUUCACCUGA